UAUAUGAUGGUUCUUUCAUUUGACUUAUAAUUUGAAAGUAUGUUCUUGGUGUUUUGGUGUUCCCUAUUGGUUCUUAAUGAAUAAGUUGACUUUACUGUUGCAUCUGACAAACAUUGUCAUAAUUCUCACUUCAAUUUGACAAGGCAAACACUGAAGCUAGUAGUAAAUCACCAAAUUGCAGGAUACUCAAGUAAUAGGCUCAGGUGUAGACUUGGAGCUCCAAUGAAGAGGAAGAUGAGCAGUACAGAGAAGUCUUAGUGGAUAAUGCAUGGAGAAGUCAAAUAAUAGACAAAGUGAGGAACACUGGAAAGAAGAGGUCAAUGUUCAAAUGAUGUGCAAAAUGCCACACAGAGAGAAAGUAAAGAAGAAAGUGGUCAACAGCUAGCUAUUUUCAGUAGGACACAUGCCACUAAUAAGCUCCAAUGGAGUAUUGCUAAUAUGCAUAUUAUGCAAUUGUGUACAUCUGAUCAUAACAGCACUAUGACAUAAGUACCCUUCUGUAUAGGUGUGCACCUCAAGUCUAGGAAACAAUUACAAGGGAUCUGAAUCAUCUGAUAAUGGAGAUUACUUAUCAGAUUGAUGAUGGUGGCAUUAUCAUCUUUAGUUACAGCCAUGGUCAUUUUGAAAGAAAAGAGAACUUCUCAUGCCAUGAGCGGUAUUGAGUCAAGAGAGAAGAAUCUUGGAAAUGUUAAUGAAUCCAACAUUAACAUAAGGCAGCGUGCAAACAGCCCAAAACCAGGCCUAGAGAAUGUUCAAUCCCAUAAGUAACAUGAUUGAAACAAUGAAUCAUCUGAGAUGACUAUGGAGGGUUGGCUGGGGGCUUCAUAAGUCUCCUUAAAUAAUUCAUUAUGAAGAAAAAUAUUCUUCAUGUUCUUUUGUGAAAAUAUACAAUACCAAGUAGCUCAAACUAUUAUCAUAUUCCAACACCAAUCUUCUUCCUCAAUGCAAGGGUCUUGCAGGAGUCCAUGCCAUAUUUAUGAAACUGAUAGGAACAUGCCUUCCUGGAAGAACGAACCUCAUGUACUAGUUGAAUGGCUGAAACAGAGGCCUCUAGUUUGUUAGGUCUGGAGCCAAAAAAUUGGGGAUUAGAUAUAGUUCACUUUGGCCUCCCAGUUUGAGCUUCAAGGUCCAGUCUUGUUUACAGUCUACCGGCUGGCUGGUGAGACUUGAAUGGAUUGCAUUGUUCAUAUCAUGGAAUUCACUGGUGAAAGUAUCAUUGAGUGUAAUAAUUAGGGUCGGCGGAGCCGUUCCGAACCGGGCGGUUCCGGCCGUCUUGAGCCAUACUAAUGGCUUACUGGUCUAGUUUCGGCAAUGGAAACGAAACCCGUUGCUGGAGCCGGAGAAGGAGAAGGAAAGAGAGAGCUAGCGGAGGAAGGAGGGAGAGAGAGGGGGGGACGCCGGCCUCCAUCGACGUACGCUACCCUCUGUCGGGCUCCCUCCCUCUCUCCCCCUUCUCUCUCUCUCUCUUUUCCUCUAUCCCACGGUUUGUGUGCCGUCUCUUCUGUUGGUACAGGCCUAGCACGGCCUGUACCGACUCAUGCUGUCGGAAAACUAGUAUGGUGCCCAGUACCGGUUCCGCCGACCUUGGUAAUAAUGAUCAAAUUAAUGGCAAUUAGAUGCUACUGAAAGCUUGAUCAUGUACUAUUUUCUGAAAAUAUUUUGAUAGGAGCAAAAAAUCAUGUUGAUACUGUCAAUCUGGAGUUAUUUUGUGUUGGACUGGCUGCAAAUUUGCAAUGAUUUAUUAAUGGAAGAUAAUACAUAGUGUAUGUAAUUAAAGUAGACCAUUACCUCUCAUUUGUAACAUUUAUGGGAAACAGAGUAAUGCAAUACACACAAGAUGGCUCGCUAGCUCUAUAUACAAUACUAUCUUUAAAGCUGCAACGGGUAAGAUAUUCUGGCUUAGACUCAUGUAUUGUUUCUAGUUCAUGGAACAGAAAUUGCAACAAGAAGCUAGAUAUCUUAUUUGUUUUGUGUGGAUUAGCAUCGCCAAUCAAAAGUCAAGAAAAGAUAUGCCAAGUUCCCUAGUCUUUCCCUUUCUUGGUCUCAUAGACCUUCAACAUUUCCCCUUCCAUCUUCUUACCCAAUGGGUUAAUUGGUUUUCCAUCUUUUGUACCAAAAAACAAGAAGCUAUACAGUCAUACUUGUUAAGGAGCUCUAUAUUCUUUCUGCAAGAUUGUUUCUUCCUAACUGGACAUAGGUAUAUGAAAAGUAGUCCCAUAACUCUUCAAACUACUUAAAAUAUCCAAUUAUUUUCAAUUAAGAUUUCAUCAAAGGCCGUUCUCUAUGCCAUCCCAUGUAAUGCACUUCUUCAAAUACCUCAUGGCUGCUAGUAAUUUUUGAUUUUGUGAGAUCUGUUAAAUUGUCUUUUUUGAAAGAUGUCUCUCACUUUUAUCAGGUUCCAGCUUAGUGAUUUUGAUAUGAGAGUUUGGUGGGUUCCCCAAUCCCAAUUUUCUUGUUGUGUACGUAAAUGGUGGAUUUUAAACAAGAUAUGACAGAUUAUUAGUUUUUUAAAAAUGCAAAUAAUUCAUUAAUAUGAUAUCUUAAUGUAGUAUUUCUCAUGUCUGCAUAUUCAUGCUAUUCAAAAUAACAAUGUAGGGACGGCACAUCAAAACCAGAAAUAGCAAUUGUGAAAUGCUCCAAAAUAGAUUAACUUGGUUCCUUAAAACACUUUCAUUUGCAAUCUGCUCACCAAGCUUUUUUCUCCAUCUUUGAAGAGACUUGGGCUUUUGUCUAUGCUAAAGAACAACAACCACAUUAAAGAUGGCUUCUUAAAUAUAUGAUUACAAAAUAGUUUUUGAGAGUCAAAUACUAAGAUUUGCAUAUUAAUGGUUUGUGUGGUUCUCUUUUGUUAGAAAUACUAGCUAAAUCUCUUGUAGCAUCUAAGCAAUGGUCUUACUGUGAUAACUAUAAGAUAUUAAUUCUUUGGAGCUUUAUAUUGAUGGCAUCCUGUGUGAUGGCAUCCUGUGUUAUGGCAUGCUAUAUACCUAUAUUAAUUAAUUUAUUUUAAAUUCACUGUAGUGAUAUUACUCACAGGUUAUAUUCCAUAUAAUACCAAUUUUUGUAUUUGUGGAGCAUCUGCAUUGACUAUCUAUUGACUUUUAGGUUUCAGUCUCCUAGUAUAUCAACUAUUUCUAUAUCCUUCACUCGUGAAAUUACUUGGACCCAUCAUAUCAUCCAGAGUCGCAUCAGUAAGCAUUCAAUGUUAUCUCUUUACAUUAAGCAUUCAGUAUUAUCUCUUUACAUUCCUUAAUUUUACAUUUGAUUUUUGGGCCUUUUCCAUAAUAUUUCAUGUUUUUGCUUUGCAGGUCUUAUCUAUACCUUUGCUUGCUGCUUUUCCCUUUAUGACAAAACUGUCAGGACUUAGACUUUCACUGAUAGCGAAUUGUGCAUCGUUGCUGAAGAACAUUCUUUGUGUAAGUACAUCUGGGAUUGCAAUAUACAGAAAACAUGUGUAUGGUUGAUACGAAGUGAUUAUAAAUAUGUUUUGAAUUUACCAAGUCCAUGUUUUCGAGCAUGUUCUCUUCUAAAGAUAUAUUACAUGGAUGGUAACUUCUAAUGGACAAAUAGGAUGUUGAUAAUAGAAAAUUGUCUCGCAUGCUCAGUGGCAAAUAUGAUAAUAGAGAAGAAUGAAUGAUGCUUAUCAAAGAAAGAACAAAUUAAGCUUGAUUGAAGAAAGAACAAGUUAAGCUUGCCUGUUAAAGCAAAUGGAAAGGAGAAAUUUGACAAAAGAUAUGGUUAAUGACAGUGAAAUUCUUCUGAGGUCUACCUCAAGAAGAGAUAGAGAAGUCACCAGAGAGCCAUUUUCAAAUUUUGAAGUUACUCAUCAUUAUCUAGCUCUCUUCGUGCUGAAAGUGAAAAUCCUUGUACUUGAUAUAAAAGAACCUGGAAGUUCUUUAUUCGGAUUUCAGUUGCAGGCCUCCCUGCCUAUAGCUUUUGCUUCCUAUUUAAUAUCUAAGACCUUACAAUUUUCAAAUUUUCCCCCCAAAACCUUAUAAAACUCAAUGCCUCUUGUUUAGUCUCUGUUAUUCUUUUUAUGUAUAUUUUACUCUUUCCAAUGGUUUCUAUUUCUGCAUUUUCUUUUUGUUCCUCUUUCAGUACUUGAAGGCAAAUUAUAUCAGCCUUUAAACCAAGAUACUUUUGUUAGGCUCCUAUCCUUUGGAGUUUAUAAGCUUUUAUUAAAAAAUCAAUUAAUUAAUCCAAGAUUAUGUACAUUUUUAAGUGGAAAACAUAGAAGAACAAAUGAAGUAAGUGAAUCAUUUAAUGCAGUUUAACUUGUUUAUGUUGUCAUAUUCCAACCUUGGCAGGGCUGUGUACUUGUAAAUGAUUUUCUCAUACACUCAGUAGGACAAAACACUAGUGAAAAGCGGUUCUUAGAAUUGAGGCUUUUCAAUGUAUCAGAGGGUGGUAUUUCUAAGUCAAGAUGAGGGAUUGGAUGGUAUAAGAUUUAUUGUUGAGGGCCUUUCAUGACAUACAUGAGUGUGAAGCAAUGAACCAAGGUUUGCUACAGGCGAGUUGACAUACAUGAAUGUGAAGUGAUCAACCAAGGUUUGCUAUAGGAGAGGGUGCCUAAACUGGGUUUGUGAUAGAUCAUAGAUGGUGUAUGAUUCAUUAGGCAUAGGUGAAAGGCAGCUGGUGAAUUUUAGUUCAUAAAGCUGAGACUUGCUAUGCUAGAGAUGGAAGGUUAAAUUGAUUUGUUUAAGUCUAGAUGGAGAAGAUUGGAUAGGGAUGAUUUGUGUAAGCUGUAUUGUUUGGAGUUAGAGAUUUAGCCUUGGCGCAAUGGUAAAGUUGCUCCAUUAUAAUCUGGAGGUCAUGGGUUUGAAAUAUGUAGACAACCUCCUCACAUGCGGGGUAAGGUUGCAUACAUUUGACCCUUCCCAGACUCCGCAAUGGUCAGAGCCUCAUACACUAGGCCACACUUUUAUGUGAUGGCUAUGAUACUCUUAAGUUGAUCCAUGGACUCCUGAUAAUUUUAGCUUCUUAUAAGACAUGAGAUACAAAGGCAUGCAGUCUGGAGUAUGCAUUAUUAUUCUAAAGAUGUAUGGUUUGGGAUCAUGUAUGAUGCUUUUCAUCCAAGAAAGAGACAGGAGGAUAGGCGACAAUGAGAGAGAAUAGGGUUCGCCAAACUAGUACCGGAGGUUGUACUACCUUGCUACUAGUUUGGUGCAGUAUGUUGUAUCGAGCCGAGGUGUAUCGGAGAUGAAAGAUUGGAAAAAGAGAAGGGGAGAGAGGAAGAAACCUAACCCUAACCCUAGAAGUAGGUGAACCAGGGGGAGAGAGAGAAGACGAAGUGGAGAAAGAGGGAGAGGGAGAGGGAGAGGGAGGGGGAGGGAGAGAGACAGAUGUACCGAUUUGAAUGCUUGGAUGGGGACGACAUUAGUGUCGAUGUUGAUCGAGGGUGAUGGCAUCGACAUGUGUAUCCACUAAGGAUGACAGCAUCGAUGCUUGCAUCAAUCAGUUGUGACAGUGUUGGUGUUGGCAUCAAUCAAGGGCAAUGGUGUUGGCGUCAAUUGAGGGUGACAGUGUCGGCGUCAAUGGCGAUGACAUUGGCAUCAUUAUCAAUCAAGGGGAUGGCAUCAACAUUAGCAUUGAUAGAGGAUGAUGGCAUCAACAUCGGCAUCACUCAAGGGCAUCGAUGUUAGCUAGGCUUCAAAGAAGAGGGGGAAGAGAGAGAAGACAAAGGGGAGAGGGAGAGGGAGAGGCAUGAGAGGGAGGAGAGGGAGGAAGGGAGAGAGAGACAUACCGGUUCGAAUGCCCGAUGAGGGAUGACAUUGGCAUCAAUUGAGGGCAUUGGCAUCAACGUCAGUGUCAGCAUCGACUGAGAGUAACCACAUGUCAAUUGAGGGAGAUGGCUUCAGCAUUAGCAUUGAUCGAGGGUGGUGGUGUUAGCAUCAGCAUCGGCAUUGAUCAAGGAUGAUUGCGUUGGCUAGGGUUCAAAGAAGAGGAUGGAGAGAGUAAAAGAGAGAUCGAAGUUGAAGUUAAAAACGAUCCAUUGGAGGAGGGUCAGGGGGUAAGGGAUUUUAUAUUAAUGUGCCGGAUCGUUUUGUUUAAUUGAACUAUCCUGAUUCCUAACCGCUUUGGUAUGAUCUGAACCGCUUGGUUCAAGAUGGUUCGGCAUACUCGAGAAUAUUAGGUUCUUUGUCUCUGAUAAUUAGGUUUUAUCUUGGUGUGCGCGACUUUAGUGAUGGGUUGUUUUUACUGUGAGAAGGGACUAGGUUACUUUGGAUGAGUACUCAGGAGCAUGCAGGGGUCUACAAUGAUAGUUUAUGCUUUUGUGACUUUGUCCCUUCACAUGCUCUUUUAAAUUAUGAAGUUUAGCAUGGGUUUGAGGUCUUCUUAUUGUGCAUAUGUAGGGAAAAACUUGUUUGGCUAAUUUUGAAAAUGUGGUAGCACAUCACAUGGGCGUGAAAUAGACUUUGUGUUAUGAAGCUUCCAUAUGAAAGGCUUCAUGUUGGUAGAAAGUGGAUUCACAUCAAACUCAAGCCCUAAAAUGAUAUUUCUGAGAUGCCACCAUUUUAGUGGAUUCUGGUGGUUCACAUCUAGGACCAGAUCAAUGAAAUAGAAACUUUUUUCUAGUUAAGUUAAUACUAGUGGAUUCUGGCGGGCUUUCUCAAAUUGUCUUGGACAAUCUGAUUUGUGAAGAUAUCUGGAUAUGAAACUUUAAGUUGUGUGUUGGUUUGGGCUGCUAAUUUCUAAGAUUCAGUCUAAGGGGUUUGUCAAAUAGUGAGGCCUAAAACCGAAAAUCAUGCUAAUAUCUCAAUUUUAUCUAGUGGUUUUGAUAGUAAUUGUUGAUUGAUGGACAGUAGAAGUGCCUUUAUGUUGAUCUGGAACCAUGUUGCACAGAACCUAGGAUAUAUAAUUAAUUGGUCAUAUUGGUCUAUCAUUGAUGGGUAAAGUCUCAAUAAAGUUGGUCAAUGGGUUUCCAUUUCUUUAGCCAUCAUCUCUUUCUGUCAAACCUCCACCAUUUUAACUUUUGUAUUUCACUAUCCAUGGUAUCCUUAAGCAUUUUUUUGCUCGUGCCUAUCUGGUUUGCUUAAUAGACCUUCAGAAUGUCUUGGUGUUGAACUUUUGUCAUGAUUUAUGUGUUAUUGCCCUCAUUUUGCCUUCUUACUUUAUUACCUCUCAGAGUAUGGAUGUUUGAGAAUCCAACUCAGCUGACAAUCUCGCACUCACAGACAUGUGUUGACUGGUCAAUUUGUUUUUUUGGAUGGACUCUUUGAGUCCAGACAACACUAACUCAAUGAGUCCUGUUGACACAUAGAAAAGAAACUAUUCUGCACAGUAAAAAGUAAAUUUUACUAAUGUACCAAAAAAAGGUACAUUUUAUUCCAAUAUCAUCUCAUUCUUCUGUGCAUUAUAUUUAAGCCUAGAUUACAAUAAGCUUUUCAGGAAUAUGAUGCAGUAGGGCAGAAUUUUUUGGUUUCUUCCUCUAUGUUAAUCAAUUUACUUAUAAUUGGUGUUCUCUAUAAUAGUUUUUGUUUAUUUGUACAGGUGGAAUAUAAUAUGACUGAUCCUAUAUGUCCUGGGCCAAAUAUUCAAAAUUUAACCUUGAUGACAAUGCAGUUUUAAACUCAAUAUCAUUUUACCUCUCGAAGUGCAUUUGCUAUCAGCAUCGAAUGCAUGUAACUUUUACUUGAAUCUUUAUUGGCUGCAUGCAUACGUUUGUUUCACAACUCUAUUACUCCUUACAAAUUGCUUUGUUAUGGAUAUCUAAUCGCACAACAGUCCCAUAAUAUAAGUUGGAUUAAUGUCUCUGAUAUGCAUUUCUUUUUUUAAUGUGAUCAGGUAACUAUCAUCACUGGGUUGUUCAUUUUGCAAAACAAUGCUGUGGUAAUUUUCUAUUAAUUUUGAUGCACUUCAGUAGCAUUAUUUAUUUUAUCUUUUUUCCUCGUAAUUUUGGAAAAACCCAAAUGAGCAAGCCACUAUAACUGAUUAACUUCUAUUAUUAAGACUAAUUUCUUAAUAAAUAUUCACUAACACUAGUUAUGUCACCUUUAUACCAAUAUAUUUACAGCCUCAACACCAAAGAGGAGCUGCAAAUGGAAUUGCUAUGACUGGAAUGUCCCUAUUCAAAGCAGCUGCUCCGGCAGGUGGAGGCAUCCUGUAAGUGUUCUUUGUUCCUUAAUUGUACUGGGAAAUACCACUAAUAUACAUGUGCAAACUGUUGAUGAGGCAUGGCUUAACUAUUCAUCCCAUUUUUAUAUCCUAGUGCUUUUGAGCCUUGCAAAUCUACAAUUGUUUUUCUGAACUUCAUAUAAAAAGAAAUAUUAUCAACAUUCUACUUGGUCCCUAAUCUACUGGUAAUUUGAUAUUACGACAUCACUUUGAUGCGGCCAUUAUUAUUGAAGAGUGAUCUGUAACUGGUUUGGGAGUUUUCUUUCUCCCCUUUUUUUUGUGUUGGGGUUUUGGUGGGUGGGUCGGGGUGGGGUGUGGGGUGGGGCGCAGUUUUGCAUUAUAUCUGAUGGAUUUGGGUCAUCUGACGAUAGCCAGGAUGUGCUAUUCUGGGUUCAACAUAAAGGCUAAGAUAUCUGCUCUUGCUACCUUUUGGAUAUAAUCAUGAUCUGCACUUCAGUAGUGAAUGCUAUCUAAUUUUGUCAUACUUAAAUUGUAAAAAAGAUUUAAAUGAUUUCAAAUAAUACACUAGAAAAGUGAUACUUCCUCCAUCGAUCUGGAUGUAUGAAUAAUAGUGGUUUCAGCAAGCCUGGUGGCUGCACCCCUCCUCCACAUGGUAUGAGAUUCUGGGUUAAAAUCUCAUCUUGUUAUUUCAUUCAAUUGUAAUAUAUGGUGCUCUUACCGUUAUUCUGGCAGCCAAAAAAUGGUUUGAGGCCUAUGACUUAGUUUGUCUAUGAUAUUAGUUCCGCAUCUUGAAGCCAAAUAAAUAUAAUUUAAAAUAUUGCUCUUUUCUUCUUUUUCCUUUUCUAGUGUGCCUGUGCAUGUUGGUGUCUGAGAGAGACAGAGAGAAACACACACACAGAGAGAGAGAGAGAGAGAGAUCACCUUUUUCUGAUCAAUUAUCUGUAUUUGCAGAUUUUCAUGGGCACAAAAGCGCCAAUCUGCUUCUUUCCUCCCAGGUAAUUUAAUCUUAACUAAGAAGCUUGCAGGGUAGUUUUCUUUUGAUAACAAUUUCAGUUGUAUUAAGAAGAGAGUUAAAUUAUAUUAUAUCUAUUAGGAUGACACAAUGACUGCAGCAUCUUUAUUUAUUGAUGUUAAUCCGGAGCCAGGAUCUUAUGGUAUUCUUAUGUGAAGCUUCAGCUUUAAUUUUCUCUCUAAGUAGAUUGGUUUUAACAACAAGGUUUAAAAAUUUGGUCUCGAUGUUGGUAUGAGUUCAAAAUAAACAUUUUGGCAAUUUCGAUACUUAUGUUGAUGAUACUACUAAAGAAGUAAUGGUAAAUAUAUAUAAAAAUAACUAAAUCAUCAACAGUUCAAGAAAUGGGAAGAAACACUAGUAAAACAUGUUAGUCAUCAUUUUACAAUAUAAAUUCUUUUCAAUGGCUCAUAAAAUUGACUAAAUAAAUAACUUUAGAAGAAGUAGAGCAUAUUCCAAAUUUAAUAGAUUAGAAUAUUUUGAACUGUAAUAUAUUAUUUGUUGAGAUUCUUAUAAACCAUAUAUGUUAAAGUAACAUAUAUUAUCUGCAUAAAAUGCAUUUUUAUUUUUACAUGAAAUCUGAUAUACUUCCUAUCCAUAUUGAUUUCAAGAAAUUAUUUCUCUAAUAUACAAUAAUUUCUUCCUAGAUUUGUGGUUCGAAGACAUGCAAUAUCUUUCUCGCUUGUGUGAAUUUUAAAUGUUUCACGCCACUGAAAGUUAUCAUAAAAAAUUAUAAUUAAAUUAUUAUUUCCUUUUACAUAACCAUAUUCUAUAAUUCAGGGGAUUUCGUGUAAUAUAAUUAAGGUUUAAGAUAUAGGCUACCUGUAUACAUUUGACUACCGCCAAAACUAACCAAAACUGUCUAAUCUUGAAAAUUGCUUCCCAAAAGCAGGAUUUAUCAUGAUGAACUCAAAAAAAAGGAAUAGAAACAAAAAAAAGGUACAGUAAACCCAUUCACAUAUAUAUGUGGAGCCAUGUGUAUGUAAAAUAUAAACACACCUCAAAAACACGUCUCCUUGUCUAAAUUUAUUAAUAUGCUUUUGUAUAUUUAUUCUUUUUUUGUUCAAAAACUCAGUAAGCAAAAUCCAUUAUACUAUGCUAUCUCCAGGCUGCAGAUUUUAUGUUGGCCCUCAUUUUCAUUCUUAUUUGCUCUAGAAUUGAACUCCUGAUAUCCUCUUGUUUUAACUUUAUUGAUCUAUUAGGCCUGAUCCUCCAAGUCUUCCCCGACUAUUCCAAUUUAGCAUUAAACAGUAUCUUCAAUAUGCCCUCUUUUAUAUCUGAGCAAGUUUAAUUAGGACAAGUGUAAAAAGAUAUCAACAAAAUGCUGACCAUUAAUUUCACUCAUCGUAAUUGGAAUUUCAGUUCUCUCGCCUCUAACUAUAUUUGAUGCUUCCCUUGCUCCAUCAUGUAUGUCCUUAACAGUUUCAGUAUACAUUUUAGGUACAUUUUUAUAGUCUAAUUCCUUAACCCCAUCAAAUCACAUCUUAUCAUGCUCGUACACUUUCUCCAUGUUGUGAAGACUAUUUAGAAUCUCUUUGCUUGAAAGUUUCGCAACAAGUGCUUUUGUAAGAAAACAACCUCCGCUUUGACCUUUUAGUGGCAAAGAUCUAGACUGGUUAUCUCUCCUGUAAUUUCAUACUGUGUGGCUCAUAGUCAUAAAGGAAGUUUGGAAAUAGUUGCUGUGCUUCCAUAUCACCAUACUUUUUUCAAUUAUUUGGAACUUAUCGGAUAUUCUAAAUCUCAUUAAAUCAGCAAGUUAACCAAAUUAACUCAAUCACUUCCUGAUUUUGUUGAACCUCUAUUGGUAUCAUCAAACCCAUCUCCUAUAUUGCUCUAAAUUAAUCUUUGACCAUAUGAAGGUUAGAAGAACUAAUGUCCAUUUCAUAUGAAAAUUAACAGUAUGUGAGUUCAACCUAGAUCUUUUCAAUCUCUCUAAAAUCAAGUAUGGAGCCAUGUUUGGUUAUUACUCCACCUUAUAUGUAGAUGGUCAAAACAACGGUAUUCUUUUUUGUGAGAAACCCAACCUCCAACUACCAAUCUACUCAUUCUAACGAAGAGAAUUUUCAGUAGAUCCUAUUUUUGCUAUGCUUUUAGGGUUCUUUCCCUCUAAGAAUUCAUUGUGUGGGAAGUAAUUAGGACUUAUUCAGAUAACCUGAGAUCAAAUAUUUGAAAAAUGGAAGAGAUUCAGAAUCAAAUGACCCGUAUUAUGUGCUAUUGGCUAGGAGUGAAAUUAAAAAUUAUUUAUUACUCUAAGAAACAGGUAGCUCAAAAUAGACUGUUCAAAAGACAUAAAUAAGAAAAUUAUACAAAUUUCCCUGGGGAAGAAAAUUAUACUAACUUCUGCGAGGAACGGUACGUAGGAACUGAUAUUGUUUAUGACUAGCAUGAUUCACAUUAAUUAGUGUGUAAUCAUUACUACAUGGCCAUUUUUUCACAAAAUAAGUGCAUUUGUUUGUGCGUGUUGGAAUUAUCUCCUGAUGGAUUGUACUUCAAGGAACUCUCAUACGGAAAUUCUUACAUGCACUAAUGUCCUCGGCUAGACAAGGGACUGACCCAAUGAUCUCCCAAUAGAUUUCCUCCUACCACUUUAUUAAUUCAGUUCUGCAAUAAAUGGAUUACAUGUAUGUUCCUUCUCAGAUUUUUAUCCAAUGAUUCAUUCUUCAAUUGUGGUGAUGUUUGUUGUUAUCCAGGUGAUCAGAUGGUUUUCUUCAUUUUAAAUGUGGUCGAGUUCAUUGGACUCCUGAUGACCUUCAAGCCCUUUUUAGCUGUACCCAACAAGUAGAACACAACAAUUAUAGUGUAUUCUUGAGACUGGAGCCUGGGCAAAAAAAUGGAGUCUGACAUGAUGGCGCACAUGAAGCAGGGUAGGAGCAUGCCUUGUGCUCCUGAUCAGCGCUGUGGCGCAUUCAUGAGCGAAUAUGAUGACAUGAUCCAGUAUCAUGAUAAUUAAUUUAUUAAUGUUAUCUGCUGCAUAGCAGCUGAGAUUGGCUGUUAUUAGACAGGUAAUAGAAAGCACGGCGAUAGCUUAGCUCUCAAUGGCCUUUUUUGUCUCCCAAAGAAGGUGAAGCUAAUGUUGUUUCAGUUUGAUAUUAACUUAAUCAUCAUCAAAAUCGACGUAAUUAUUAUUGUUUUCAUGCCUUUUACUGUUAUCAACUUCAGGGGAUGAAGACUUUAGACCAGGUAAUUAUGACUUAAGACAUGAAAGCAAUGCAUUAUCGGCCAUCAACUUAAUUAGAACCUAAGAUACUGAUGAAAAUUGAUUUAUAACUAGAAGAGCUUGCAAAAGAAAAGUCCUCUCCAAGUAUUUAUCCUUGUAUAAAGGUAAGAAAUAUCUUUAGCUUCUUAGGCAUAAAAAGACUAGAACUGGCCUUUUUUGAAAGUAUGAUGCCAACAGGCACCUGAAGCCAUUUUUUCCCUUUUUUUUUGCUGCAAAAAAAAUAUUGUCGCCUAUUAGCACAAUCAUCUAACCUAGACUGUAGAAGAACUGAAAUUUUAAAUCAACAGGAGGAAAUCUAGGAGCAAAGACAGCAUAUGCCAACCAAGCAUGUAUUCUCCCAUGAUACUUAGGCUACUUUGGCAUACAAGAUGUACUUCAUAAUAUUAACCCUUCUUUUCAGUUACAAAUCACCUCGCAAGCAGAUCCUGGUUGCUUUCUGGUACUUUACCCAUUNNNNNNNNNNNNNNNNNNNNNNNNNNNNNNNNNNNNNNNNNNNNNNNNNNNNNNNNNNNNNNNNNNNNNNNNNNNNNNNNNNNNNNNNNNNNNNNNNNNNNNNNNNNNNNNNNNNNNNNNNNNNNNNNNNNNNNNNNNNNNNNNNNNNNNNNNNNNNNNNNNNNNNNNNNNNNNNNNNNNNNNNNNNNNNNNNNNNNNNNNNNNNNNNNNNNNNNNNNNNNNNNNNNNNNNNNNNNNNNNNNNNNNNNNNNNNNNNNNNNNNNNNNNNNNNNNNNNNNNNNNNNNNNNNNNNNNNNNNNNNNNNNNNNNNNNNNNNNNNNNNNNNNNNNNNNNNNNNNNNNNNNNNNNNNNNNNNNNNNNNNNNNNNNNNNNNNNNNNNNNNNNNNNNNNNNNNNNNNNNNNNNNNNNNNNNNNNNNNNNNNNNNNNNNNNNNNNNNNNNNNNNNNNNNNNNNNNNNNNNNNNNNNNNNNNNNNNNNNNNNNNNNNNNNNNNNNNNNNNNNNNNNNNNNNNNNNNNNNNNNNNNNNNNNNNNNNNNNNNNNNNNNNNNNNNNNNNNNNNNNNNNNNNNNNNNNNNNNNNNNNNNNNNNNNNNNNNNNNNNNNNNNNNNNNNNNNNNNNNNNNNNNNNNNNNNNNNNNNNNNNNNNNNNNNNNNNNNNNNNNNNNNNNNNNNNNNNNNNNNNNNNNNNNNNNNNNNNNNNNNNNNNNNNNNNNNNNNNNNNNNNNNNNNNNNNNNNNNNNNNNNNNNNNNNNNNNNNNNNNNNNNNNNNNNNNNNNNNNNNNNNNNNNNNNNNNNNNNNNNNNNNNNNNNNNNNNNNNNNNNNNNNNNCACAAUAUAUAAUUGAGAACUAUAUUAGCAUAUUGGUAAAGUCUACCUGAAUCUUUUGGCCAACAUAUUCCAACCGCUCCAGACAAAAUCGCGGGUGCUCAAAUUUGUACUUGGAGGGAUGCAUAAAGCACAACUGCCAUGAUUUGAAAAGAUGUCAUCUGGUAAGGCUUAACAAAAGCAAGAAUGGACAACAGGCUUAACAAAAGCAAGAAUGGACAACAUUCCAAUAUUACAUAGCACAGACUGGCAUGUUCUUUUUCAUCCCCCUUUACUGCAUAUUACCAUCAGUCCAUCACCCUCUUUUCCAGCCUACAGGCUAUUGACUACCAUCAUAACAGUCUUUUUUGUACCCUCCUAAGUCCUAGUUGACUCUUGGAAGUCCACCUUCAAUAAGUUUUUUCUCCUCUUCAAGAGGUUGAUUCCCAUUAAUCCAACUUCUAUAUAUUGAUAGUCUUGCCUCUAAUGCCGAUAGGGGUUAUCCCCACAAUGUAGAACCCCGAGAGCUGCAUGACCAUAAUGAAGAUGUGAUGAAAGGCAUUCGGGUUGAAGCCCCUACUUUUGAUGGCCGCCUUGACCCAAAGGUCUUUUCAGGCUGGUUGCACGAAAUGGACCACUUCUUUGAGUGGUAUAAUUUGUCUGAAGAAAAGAAGGUCUGGUUUGCCAGAAUGAAGCUCAUUGAUGGAACUAAGUUUUUCUGGCAAAAUAUUGAACAACUCCUGGCUAGGAGACGUCAACCUGCUAUAACUGACAGGAUAGAAAUGAAAGAAAAACUUAAGAAAAAAUACCUGCCUAUUAGCUACCAAGAUGAUCUCCUUGACUGAUGGAACAACUUGAGACAAGAUACCCGAUCAACCACUGACUACAUUACCCAAUUCAAUGAAUACAUGAUGCGAUGUAAUGUGAUUGAGGAUGAGAGAAUGGUCCUGAGUCGGUUCCGUAGAGGUCUCAAUGAUGAACUUGGAAAGAACUUGUCCUCCGAGAGGUGUCCAUGUUAGACCAGGCCUAUAUAUUUGUAUUGAACUAUGAGCAGGUCUCCAAGUCCAUGUUUGUGAGGCACCCUAACAUUCGGGGUGCAUCCACAAAUCUUGAUUCUUCAGGGCCCAAACCUUCUGUAGGAUCCUCUACCCCUAGACCCCCUCCUACUGCCCCUGUCUCAAGCCCAGACACUAAAAGCAAGGAAAUUCUUGGUGAGCCUCCCAAACCGCAUUCCAAAAUUCAGUGCUACAAAUGCCAAAGUUUUGGUCACGUUGCCUGCCAAUGUGCUAACAAAUCUCUUGUUAUUGCUUAGCAAGAGCAGGAAAGUGACACAGAUGACCUGGAGGAGCAAAUCUAUGAACCGAAUCUCGAUGACUUUCCAAAAAUUGAGGAAGAGUGUGAUGAGGAACCUAAAAUCCUACGGUGCACCCGUACUACACCUAUUUCGCUUGCACAGUCGAAAGGAGAGUCUGACCAGUCCAUCAUGAGUGUAGUUAGAUAUGCCCUCGCACAACCCAACGAAACUGAUGACUGGAGAAAAACCUCAAUUUUCCAUACUUAUAUUAAGUGCAGAGAGAAAGAUUGUAAGGUCGUCAUCGAUAGAGGGAGCAGUAUUAAUGCAAUAUCGUCCAACAUCGUCUUCUGCUUAGGUUUGGCUCCCGUUCCCCAACCACAACCCUAUAAGGUCUCUUAGAUUGACACAACUUCUAUUUACAUCAAAGAGAGAUGUCUUGUGCCCUACAUCCUUUCUUACAAAGACACCAUAUGGUGUGACGUAGUCCUAAUGGAUGUAGAACAUCUAAUUUAGGGAGAUCCUAGUUGUUCGACCUUAAUGUUACCAUCUUUGGUCGAUCCAAAUUUUGUUCUUUUGUAAUCGAGGGCAAAAAGAUUAAGCUCAAUCCUUUGCCGCCCAAGCCACCUGAUAAGAAUAAGAGAAGUGAAGUAUCAACGGACAAAGAUCUCCACAUCCUGUGUCUGCUAAAUUUGAGCUGGAAGUAUUUAACGAAUCUUUAGUGCCCACUCUAUUUGUCCAAGAAGUUUACCCCCAUAAUUCAGUCACCAGGUCCAUAAGCAUGACUCCAUUUGAGAUAGUACAUGGUUACAAAGCUAGGAAACCUCCAAAUCUCUUACCCAUGUCAUCCAAUGUUAGAAUUUUUGAGUCUGCACAUGCAUUUGCACAACACAUUCAUGAGUUGUAUUAGAAAAUCCACAAGCACAUUCAUGCACAUAAUGCUCAAUAUAAGAUGCAAACUGAUUCCUAUGUUAAAGAAUUUCAAACUGGAAAUUAUGUAAUGACCUGUAUUCGAUCUGAGUUUCUUCUUCCUGAAACCGUUAAGAAAUUGCAGGCUCAUACUGUUGGGCCAUUCAGGGUGUUGCACAUAGUUGGCACUACUGCUUAUGAUAUUGGCCUCCCAUUUAAUUUUGGUAUUAGCCCAACCUUUAAUAUUGAAGAUUUAGUUGCUUACAAGGGCCCACCAACAAUCCCCAAUGACUCUUUUGUUGAGCCAUCUCCUGCACUUGAUGAUUCUCUUAUUAUUGAUCCUAUACCAGCUUCGAUUUAUUUACCCCUCCACGAAGCACAACAAAAGCACAUUGAUGUUAUUUUAGACGAUCAAACAGUUUUUACCAGUGAUGGAUGUAUCUAACACUUUUUGGUUCAUUGGCGAGGAUGACUAGUAUCCGAUUCCACUUAGAUCAUGCGCGAGGAGUUUCUGCGGAUUGACCCGGAUCUAUUGGAAUACUACCAAAGCUACACCGUGCCGCGUUCGUCGAGGUCGACUUCUUCCCACCCAGGAGAGUUGGUGCGGACACCAGUACCAGACUGCCUGUUAUGCGGGGCCACGGUCGUAGCACGAGGAUGGUCCAACCACUUUCGUUGUGGCUGGAUUGAUUUUAUGUUAUUUUAUUUUGUUUUAUUUUAUAUUGAUUGGGCUUGUUUGCAUAUUGUUAUUUUAAGGCCUUUAUGAGAUUAUUUUCUUUGUAGGGGUUUUUUUCUUAUUUCUCAACCCUAUAUAUAUAUAUAUAUGGGUCCAUGCACUUGUUUGGGAUUAUUAAAUGAUUGAAUGUAAAAUAGCCUUCUUUUUUCUGAAACCCUAGUGUGAAGCUGCGGCCAGAGCCAAGUGAGAAGCAUGGAUCUUUUUCUUUCCCCUUCUCUUCUUUUCUUCCUCCUUCUUCCCUCUCCUCCCUGCAGUUGUCCUACAUCACCGGUGUAAGUUCAUUAGUUAACAAAAAUAUAUCUUUUUCAAUAUUUUAAUUUUAUUUUAAUAAAUUAUUAUUUUAUAAUAUUUUUAUAAAAUAAUAAUAUAGUAAUGUUUAGGUAAAUUAUUUUCGACAGCAUCAAUCUCUAGCUUCAAUCCCUUCUUAUCAUUUUCGAAUACAAUGAUGACGACAACAUUGACGGCUUUGCAGUUCAAUCAACAAUCGGGGGCAUCCAAACGCAUCGUAUCACCCACCAACCAUGAAUUUUUUGGGAGGAUUGGUGGGCAAAAAACAAAAAGGCAGAUGGGAUGGAGGACUAAUACGUAACCUACAGUUGAUUUCUCAUUGACAAUAUGAUCCAUAUGAAGGACUAAUCAAUGUUCAAGUUUUUAAUGUCAUUUCUUUGUUGUCCUAUAACUGCAAGGGCGCAGUCCCCGUGCCAAAUUUGGCAUGGCCCAUGGCCUGAGAAAAUUUGUAGAGUAAAAGUCAAAGAUGGCAUUUAGUUGUCCAAAUAGGAUCUGUGACCUUAGAUUCUCGUCUUAGAGUAAUUUAAUAUCGUGUUUCACAUGCUAUAUAUUUCAGUGAUUAAAAUUUUCUAAAUAUUUAUGAUUAACUUAUUUAGUGUGCCACGUAAUAUCAAAACUAUCCAAACAUAUUCUAUACAUUUUGUAAUUAUUAAAUGUAAUUCUCAAAUAAAUCAUAGCAAAGUAUAUAUGAAUACAAAUGAAAUUAUCAAAAUCUGUUUUUCUGGAUCAAUUCAACAUGAUCAAAAAUUAAUCAAAAUUGUUAAACUAAUAUCAGAAGAUUAUCAAAUUUUUCCUACUAGAAGAAUUUUUUUAUGGGAUUGUCAUACCCUUCCUAGCUAGAAAAGUUUGUUUUUUCCAUAGAUCAAUAUUUGGAAAAAAAUAUUUUUAUUAGAUUGAGAGGCAUUUUUAUUCUUAAAAUUCCAACGUCGCUAUCUUGGGGUGAUUUUGAAAAUAUUCUUAAAAAUGGAUUUAACAUCAUUGGAUUGGAUAAUAAUUUUAGAAUUGAGAAUAAUUUGGAAUGACUGCCACAUAGGAUUAAUAUAGUACAACUAAAUACAAUAAUUAUGUUGUCUUUAUCGGUAUCACUAUUGAUCUUAGUACUAUCAUUCUAUACCAAACACCAUCAAAAACAUAAAUAAAUCCAAACACUUGGACAAAGUUAAAGAACACCUUCUUUUGUCAGCACGACAUGAGUUUGUCCUCCAAGUUGAUCACGCAUACUAAUAAAAAUAUAAAACAUUAAUUGUUGCUUAAAUGUUUUUCAUAAAUCAUUAAUUAUUACUUAAAUGUUUCUUUUCCUUGAGGCAUCUUGUGCCCGUUGGCUCGAGUAAUAUAUUCAUGGUAGGGCUGCUGCUUUUAGCCUCUUGGUUAGUUGGUUAUCAGCAUCUUAACAGCAGAAUACGUCAAAAAAAAAAAGUUGAGUUUACAGCCAUUUGUCUCCCAGCUAUCAGCCUCCUGACGCAUGGGGUGAUGUGUGGGACUAAAAAAGGACAACAAAGAGAGGUUCCAGUGCACUCUCUCUCUUUGGGCUUGAAAUAUACUAUAGACGAGCAGAUUACCUCCUUCGCUGUAUCUGAGGUCUAAAGAGAAGUUCUACUUCCCCUCUUCCACUAUUAUUAGAGGAAAGGAGCCUUGACCUCUUCCCACCUCCAAGGGAGACUCCCCAUAUAAACCAUUGAGGACUGGGCUUUGGUUUCCAAGGAGAAAGGAGCUUAAUUUGUUCGGCCUUGGUUGGAGAUGGCGAACGCAGCGGGGCCUUUGUUGGAGAAGGUGUACUUCGAGAACUGCCCGGGUUGUAAGCAGGAGAAGAAGAAGGAUGCCAACCCAGGGAUACCCUACAAAGAGUUCGCCUUUGUGUGGAUGGUCACGCUCUGCACCGGUAAUUAAGGAAAACUCGCACUCAUUUUUUAUGUCUUUCUUACUGUGUUUCAGAGAAAUAGCUAUGUCUGUACUUUAGAGCAUGCGCUUUGAUUCUGUGAAAAAGAGGAUGUGAAAGAAGAGGAAACGUAGAGAGAAGGCCAAUACACUCUUUAUUCCAUGAGUCUUAGGGGUUUGAUUCCAGCAGCGGAUUCUCCUUCCUGCAUGACCCUUGUUACAAACACAUAAUUUUGAAAGGUGUAGGCAUACCUCGAUCUGUGGCUCAGCAUAGAAAGCAUCCAGUAUAUUGAAGUGGUCAGGACCAACAUCCUGCCACUUUUUUUUUUUGGUAGAACAUCGUGCCACUUCGAGAUAGGCUCUGGUACAAUUUCCACGAGAUCACGUAAUUCAAGUGUUUCGUUAGCUAUUCUUUGCAGGAAAGUGGCCUUUCCUACGCUAAUGAUUCCCUUGACACAAAAAGUCAGCCUUUUCUUCUGCAUAGGCUUAACCUGAGAGUUAGGGCUUUCCUCUUUCAACUCUUCAUCCAGACUCCUUGAUGAAAGAAGUUAUACUCUCUGCAUGGUUUUUAUGGAUAAUACGGAUACCUACCGAGCUACGCAAGAAUUCAACCAUCUUCUCACUGGACUUACCAAAGAACUUGUCCCUGUAAAGCUGUUUAAGCUGGGAAACACCACUGAAACCCUUAUCCACCAGCUUCCUAGGAUUCCGAGGUCCGACCCCGGGAAUCAUCAAAAGCUCGAGAUUCGCCACUGGCGUACCAUCAGACCCUCCACCUCUCUGCCUCCUCUCCACCACUCUGUUGUUCACCGCUCCAGACUGCUGCUGCUGCUGUGGUUCUUGAGAUUUCUUCUCCCCUUCCACAACCUCCUCCUCCUCACGAUACCCAUCCAAGACUCCGCCUUUCUCGCGAUUCCUCAAACCUUCGGCCACUCUCAAGUCCCUCGCCCUCUCGCCGUGCAACCAGGCGGCCGAGGACGGCUCCCGAGCCUGUCUCAAGAGCGGGGACCAUGCACGCGCGCUUCGACUGGAGGCCACUUUCGAGGCCAUGGCAGCAAGUAAUCCGGGGGGCCCUAAGCGGAAGGUUCAGUCGGAGAACGGCGGCGGCGGAGGAGGAGGGAGUGCGGAUGUGGAAGAUGGACAUCGGAAACCACAGCACGGGAACGGAGGGGAAAGCAGGAGCGGCGUUCUUCUCAAGCCAUCCGGUGGUGGAGAGGACGGGGGCGGGGCCGGCGGCUCCACGCCAGAGCUUCUGCAUUGCUCGCUGCAGCAGCGGCAGCUAGCGUUCAUGAAGAGGACGAGAGUUUUGGAGAGGAAGAGGAAGAGGAGAAGAAGGUCAGGGUUUAGGGUUUUGGGAUAUGGGUUAGGGUUCUGGUGUGGAGAGCAAAGCUCUGAUAUCAUACUGAAAUCACCUCUUAUCCUAAAAGCUUAAGCUAAUAGAAUAAAAUAAAUUUAUUUAUAUAUUUUAUAUUUUCUUGCGCUCCCUUCAUAUGUGGGCCAGACUUUUCUUUUAAUGGGCGAGGCCAACAUGUGUAAUUUUUUAAUAAUGGAGUAAAGAGUGUGCAAACAGAGUUCGAACUCAGAAUCUCUGCUCUGAUACCAUAUAAAAAAGAGAAUGUGAAAGAAGAGAAAACCGUAGAGAGAAGGCCAAUACACUCUUUAUUCUAUGAGUCUUAGGGGUUUGAUUCCAACAGCAGCUUCUCUUACCUGCAUGACCCUUGUUACAAACAUAUAAUUUUGAAAGGUGUAGGCAUACCUCUGUGGCUCAGCAUAGAAAGCAUCCAGUAUAUUGAAGUGGUUAGGAUGAGCUGGUUAAUCGCUAGAAACUUUUUGUUGCAUUAAUUUGGCCCAUCAGAUUUUUUUAUUUAUUUUUGUUAGUCUCGUUAGAAGAGUAGUUAUGAUCAAGGUUUGCCUUACUGGGGCCACACAAUCAUAGUGUCGAUGCGAUAUAGUGCACGAUACGUCUGACGUAUUGAGUGUCGGUACGCCAUCAGUACUAGAUUAAUAUGGUACAGUAUGUCCGGUACCAUUCGAUACAGUAUGAUAUAGCAUAUUAUGGUUAUGACGAUUACUGUAAUGCUGAUAAUAGGUGGCUGAGAGCAAUGGGAUUAAAUAGACUUAAAAAGAGGAAAAUAAUAUUUUGCUAUUGUUGUAAGGUUUGCGACUUGGAUUUAUCUGAAGAUUUUUAGGAAGCAUUAUCAUGUGAUUCUUAUAAAUGGUUUUGCGAUUUAAAAGGUUUGGAAGAAGACAAUUUGAUGUUGUUGUGUGGUUUGCAAUUUUGGUUUUUAUCAAGAGAAUAGUAUAAAAACAUCGAAAACUAGAUGGUACGAAGCGUAUUGUAUUAUAUCGGUUCUUUUAUUAAUAUUCAAUAUAAAUAAUAUAUUAAAUAUUAAUGUAUAAAAAUAUUUAUAUUAUAUUAAUAUUGUGGUGGUGUGCCUAGAAGAAUCUCGACUGCUAUGAUGUUUUUUUUUUUAAUGGAUGAAGCGUUCUAGAGGCAUCAGUACGUAAAGUGAUAUGUGUUGAUGGAUUCAAUUUUCCUUUGAAAUUUUAACCGAUGAAGCUUUACUGCCAGCUUGAAUAGUUUGGCCGUACGUGGAGGGUUCCGUGGGAAGUCUGGCAUGCAAUAAUUUUUUUCAGAUGAUGAAUGAUGGAUGGGUAAAGCAGAUGACUACGUUAUGUUUUUCAUUUUUGGGGCAUGUUUCUUUUUGCCCUGGGACUUCAAUUCCUCAUUAACAAUAAAAAUAUAACGAAUAACAUGAAGCAAAUGUAAAAAAGGAAAUUAACAGUUUGUUUUUGUUCUUCAAAGACCACAAUCUAAUAAUCUAAAUUUUGAACUUCAAAUACCACAAUCUACAGCCAAGUAACUCUGAUACUUGAAGUGCUGCACUUUGUUGUUAACAAUAAAUUUUAGCAUCAUUCAUGGUAACAUUAGCUUCUUUAUAUCAUUAUAUACAACGCUACAAUGAUUUUGAGACUUUGAUUUGAGAUCAUCAAGAAUUCUCACAAACAAACUUCAUAUUUUGAAGAAAUAAAUUAAUGCUCAUGAGAUUGGGUAUGUGGAACAUAAUGGUAGGGGGUUGUGUUAUGCGUAUAGCAAAAGUUUUUUUUUGUUUGAUGAAAACAUGUAUAAAAAAAUUUAAGUAGUGAAAUCUAUAUUUCUGAAACUUUGGGUGAGAAUCUAUAUAUAAUUCCUCCAAACAUUGAAGGAGGUUAGUGUAAUUUAAUCAAAACGAAAUCAAGUAUUUCUUUUUCAACAUUUUCUUUUUAUGGAUAAGAAAGAGAGAUGGAUGGAUGCCUGCUCCCCACUCCCCAUAGAAAUGAAAAAGAAAAAAAGCAAUAUAAGCAUUACAUUUGAGAUGUAUCACUAUCUAUCACCAUUCCGUUCUAUGCUCCGAUCCCUGAGUCUCCAUGACAAUUAGGAACUAAUACAGUACACGAAACAGGCGAGUAUUAGUUUUGUUAUUUUCCAAGUGCUGCAUUAAUAUUUAUUGAUCUCCACAUCCAGCAAAAAGUGAAAUAAUGAUCCCCAAUAUUUUUUUAUAUGUAGACUGUGAAAAAACGAAUACCACAUCAAGUUAGUGAAGGUGUUGGUGCUGGAUAAAAUGAUAUGGGAUUGAAUUUUGCCCUGAUCAAAAAAACUUAAGGCUCGUUUGGUUCGCAGAGAGAAAAAAAGAGAAAAAGUGUUGUCAACGAAAAAAAGAAAAAAAAUUACUUAUUUGGUUGAAGUUUUUAAAAUAAGAAAGAUAGAAGAGUAACAUUUCCAUAGGAAUAAGAUUCCUAAGUUUUAUGGAAAAGAAAAAUCAUAAUGGAUAUUAGAACGCUAUUUUCUCACCAAUUGAAAAUUGAGAUUUUUUUUUCAAAACUAUCCUUAGACCAUCAAAAUCCAUAAAUAAGGUUUUUUUCUUUAUUAAGGGUAUAAUAAAUAUUCCAUACAACUUUUUUAGGAAGUAGAUACUCAACAAAACAUAAGCCACUUUGGAAUGUACCACUUUUUCAUGGUCAACCAAAUAUACUAAAUUCAUUUUUCCAUGCAUCAUAUUCUCAGGAACCAUUUUUCUAGAAAAAAUAUUUCGAUGAGGAAAAAUUCUUCAUGCGGAAUACUAUGCACCUUUCUUCGUACAUGGGGUCCACAAAAUGAUGAUCCAACAAGCCAAUUGAUGGGCAGGGCUGUUUGGAGCUGGAUGCUAAUAAGUCAAAAUUUGUGCCAUCAGAUGGAGAGAUUAUACCCUAUUAGAGGCGGCAUUGAGCCGGGCCGCCCAUGGCCCGGCACGAAGCAGGCCGUGCCAGGCAUGGCCCGCUUGCUACAGUAACGAGCCGUGCUAGGCACGGCCCGUUAAAAGGGGGCUGGGCUGGGUUAAGGAUUUCUGACCCGUGGGUCGAGUCCGACACGGCCCAUAAGGGCCUGGGCUGGCACGAUUCGUGGGCCAAGCACGGCACGACCCGCGGGCUAGCCCGAAAUGGCCCAUAAGGGCCUGAACCGGGUCCGACACGGCCCACAAGGGCCUGGGCCGGUCCAGGCACGGCUCGUCCCCCUUAAAAUAAACGGGAAUAAAAUUUUUAUUUAUAAAUUUUUUAAAAAAUUAAUAAAUGUUGGGAACUAAGGAUUUAUUAAUAUAAAGCCACCUUAAUGGUGGGGAGUUUGGCAUAUACCCCUACCAGUUUAUUAAUUUAAAUCAAAAUGGUACAUGAAGGGAGGUUUGGUCUGACCUCCAAAAUACAAUAAGAAAGGAGAAAAANNNNNNNNNNNNNNNNNNNNNNNNNNNNNNNNNNNNNNNNNNNNNNNNNNNNNNNNNNNNNNNNNNNNNNNNNNNNNNNNNNNNNNNNNNNNNNNNNNNNNNNNNNNNNNNNNNNNNNNNNNNNNNNNNNNNNNNNNNNNNNNNNNNNNNNNNNNNNNNNNNNNNNNNNNNNNNNNNNNNNNNNNNNNNNNNNNNNNNNNNNNNNNNNNNNNNNNNNNNNNNNNNNNNNNNNNNNNNNNNNNNNNNNNNNNNNNNNNNNNNNNNNNNNNNNNNNNNNNNNNNNNNNNNNNNNNNNNNNNNNNNNNNNNNNNNNNNNNNNNNNNNNNNNNNNNNNNNNNNNNNNNNNNNNNNNNNNNNNNNNNNNNNNNNNNNNNNNNNNNNNNNNNNNNNNNNNNNNNNNNNNNNNNNNNNNNNNNNNNNNNNNNNNNNNNNNNNNNNNNNNNNNNNNNNNNNNNNNNNNNNNNNNNNNNNNNNNNNNNNNNNNNNNNNNNNNNNNNNNNNNNNNNNNNNNNNNNNNNNNNNNNNNNNNNNNNNNNNNNNNNNNNNNNNNNNNNNNNNNNNNNNNNNNNNNNNNNNNNNNNNNNNNNNNNNNNNNNNNNNNNNNNNNNNNNNNNNNNNNNNNNNNNNNNNNNNNNNNNNNNNNNNNNNNNNNNNNNNNNNNNNNNNNNNNNNNNNNNNNNNNNNNNNNNNNNNNNNNNNNNNNNNNNNNNNNNCAUAAAGAAGUUGUAUUACCUAAUUUUAGUCAGGUUCAAGAUCUUGAAUCAUAUUUUCACAAUAUGCAUCAAGUAAAAUUAGUACGCCAUUCAAUUUAACUCUUGGAUCAAAUACAACAGCUAAGUUAUGCAUAGGACAUAUCUUGUCCCAAUACUCAUUCCAUUUAGAUUCCAUUUGUUCAAUAAUAGGCAUUAAAACAUCAUCAUAUCUUUGUUCUGCAAAUUUUUGACUAAUCAUAUAUGCUUGUUGUAAAAAUGAACAUGAAGUUGGAUAAUAGAUACCAGAAAGAACAUUAGCGCAUUAUAAAAACUAGCCAAAAAAUCUUCCAAAUUUUUUCUUUAUUCCAAUCAAUUUCAGUCAAUGUAAAGCCUAAUCCACGAUCAUUAAUAUAUACACUUAAUAAGUUUUUAUAUAGGUAUGCAUCAUGUAUCAUGCUAUAUGUUGCGUUCCAACGAGUAAUUACAUCAAUUUUAAAUUUUUUAAAACGUUUAUCAUGAUUUAUACAUAGUUUCUUAAAUUUUUGAAGUCUUGAUCUUGAAGCAUGAAUAAAAGAAACUGCAUUUCUAAUUUUUGGGUUGCUCGUUCCUAUACCAAUACAUUGAGAUAAGCUCUUGCUGAAUGAAGCCUAUAAAAACGAACGGCUAUAAUUGCUUAUGCAUAGGGCCAGUCGGCCUUAUGAUGCAUGCAGUGUAAGGUAUCAUUUCUCCAUUUGGUGGACAUGACUCAUGUGAUUCCUAACAAUUUGGACUAACUUGCAGUUGCAGUGGACCCUACCAAUAGACCAUGAAACCUCUUUUCUGAUCAUAGCCUUUUCUUCUGGGAUCCACCAAGGUCACGUUGGGAUUGCUAUUGAUAGUACAACUUUUAGAGUUGUGAGAAUAAAGCUAUGAGAAGUAGAACUUUGGAAAAUAGAUUUUUUAUAAAAUAUAUUUGCUGUUUAAUAACUAUAUUUUUUAAGUACAGUAAGAUUUUAAUGUAUUUGAUAACCAAACUCACAAAAUGCUUUUUAUAUAACAAAAUGAGAACAGCGAGCCCACUCGCUCCUCCGGAGUUGUAGCUACCACCUCCCUCGUAACUGUAUGGGGCCCAACUGGUGCUACAUGGCACUAGAUGACUGGUACACUUGUUGUUGGAAAGUUGAACCUUCACGAUUGCGACACGUGGCACAGAGUUUGCUGUGGUGCGUGGUAUAACAGAAAAAUUUUUAGAUUCCCAGAUGGGACCCACGCCCCUAAAUAUGGCGGGCCCGCAUUCUUAUCCCACGUGGCUAUCUCCUUACCUUGAUACGUGUCUCCAUGCACCCGGUCCUUUUCUUAUCGAGCCGGGUCCGGGUUCCCCUCGUCUGCCACUUAAACGGCAUUCUAAUUCACCGUCGGACUCGCCGUCUCGUCACCUUUCGUGCCCUCACCGCCUCGUCUUGGACGUGCAAAGAAAGCAGACACAAGUCCGGCUCCAACGUAGGAAGGUUACGCGACUCGCUCCCUCUCUGUGGGUUAAAUAUAGCACGAGACCCCAAAAGCAGGUUCGCCGAAUCCGAGCUCGACGGUAGAGAGAGGCGUGGAAGUUCCGUUUCCUCUUCUUCGAUAGUUUCUUGGAAAGCGAUUGAAUCGAAGGCGAUGGUGUUGGAUUGAAUUCGAGCCAUCGAGGUAGUGGGGAGGAGUUGGGCGUGGAGUUUGGCGAGGCGAGAGGGGGUUUCUUGAAAGGCCAAAGGCUCUGUUCUCGUAAAACUCCGAAGGAGAUGGCAGAGAACAGAGCCCCGUUGUUGGAGAGGAUGCGAUUGAAUCGAAGGCGAUGGUGUUGGUUUGAAUUCGAGGCGGUGGGGAGAACUUGGGCGUGGAGAUUGGCGAGGCGGGAGGGGGUUUCUUGAAAGGCCAAAGGCUCUGUUCUCGUAAAACUUCGAAGGAGAUGGCGGAGAACAGAGCCCCGUUGUUGGAGAGGAUGAUGUACUACGAGAGCUGCCCCGGGUGUUAGUUGGAACAGAGGAAGGAGGAGAGAAGAGGGAUGCCCUACAAGGAGUUUCUUUAUGUGUGGAUCGUCACGCUUUGUACUGGUGAGGAAAGUAGAAUUAAUUUUGGUUUCUUGAUUGGUUUGUUUUGAAGAGUUGAUGUUUAAAGCUGUUUUUUGAGGCCAAGAACUGUUUUUUUUUUUUGGUACAUCGAGGAACUAUUCUUUUUGAUGGCAUUUGGCGGGAGAGUAGUUUUCUUUUUCUUCUUCUUCUUCUUCUUUUAAAUUUCUUGGGGAAAACUGGCUGGAAUUUGCUUUCUUGCUGGAUGAUUUAAGGCAAUGGUCUUCAAAGCUUGGAUUUUGAUUCCAAGAAUUGGUUAAAAUACUAGGUUUCGAAUGGCAUCUGGUGUGGAGAGAGUUCUACUAGUGUAUUAUUUUUCAAAAAAGAAAAAAUGGUUAGGCUGGUUGGAUUAGAGAUCUAGCUAGAGAUUCUGAGGAAUAGUUGCUGCAAUUUGCUUUUUUGAUGGUUUUUGUUUUAAAGAAACGAUCUUUUCAUUGUCUAUCUGAUGCCAAGAAUUGGUGGCUUGUAUAUUUUUGGAUUGCAUUUGGCAGGGAGACAUCUCUUGUUUGUGCGUUUUUUUGUUAGGCAUGUUGGAGGAGAUUAAGCGGGAAUCCAAAUGAAUGACUUUGAGUAGUUCUUUGGAGUUGAUUUUAUUGGUAUACAACAGAUUGUUGAGUUAAUGAGCUGAUAAAUGUUUUGAAAAAGUUUUGCCAAGAAAUUUUCAUUGUGGGGUUCUUUGAUACUGUCGAGCAUUGUUAUGCACUUUUAAAGCAAUGUGCUUCGUUUUUGAUUGAGCAAGUAAUGAUGUUUUCACUUCGAUGUAGACAAUUUAGUUUUCUUUUGGCUCUUUUCUGCAUAUCUGUUUUCUAUUUUUAAGUAAGGCGGUACAAGUUGAUGUUCUGGGUAAUCAUGGGUUCUUUUAUCUUACAACAUUUUCGUCAACAUUGAUCUAAGCAACGACUACUGUUUUUACCUGAUAUUUAGCAGGUGAAUGUUUUCUGGGAGUUUAGUGAUCACGGGUCUAGGAUUAUAGUUACAUGGCUAUCUGUUGCUCGAUGUAUUGACCUUUUAUUUAUGGAUAUAAAUUGCAGAAAUGUUAGAGAAAGAACCUGUAAGACAAAACAAUAUUCAAGCAAUAAACUGAUUGUGCUAAAUUUUAGUUCCUGUUAGGUUUAUAAAUAAGUUCAGAGGCAUCAGGACAGGUACAGCCGUACAGGAUGGUUUCUUGAAUAAAAUAAGUUGAAAUGAAUGAAUUGGUGAUGGAUGGGAAUGGGAUUGAAAGAUUGUAGUAAUCCAGAAAAAAUACUUGCUAUUUUUUGAAAUUUCAUCAUAAAGAAAUUUAAAUGGAAUUACUUUGUUAACAUUUUCUAAACAUUGAUGGAGAAGAGUUAUCCCAGUAGUCAAAACAUGCACUGUCCAUGCAAAAUUUUCUGAUAGGCAUCAUAUUUUGACUAGCUGAAAUAGGAGGAGUGUGUGAAGACCUGUUCGAGUAUGUAUUGAGUCCUACAUUAGUUAUCCAUUAGGUAGAUUUUGGAUACUUAUAUAGGGCUAAGGAGCAAGGCUUUAAAUCCCAAAGAAUAGGGUGUCCCAGUUUCUUCAUGGAAUAGGAUGCUCCAUUAUCCCGCCCCGACUUAGCAGCCAUCUUGGUCAAGUAUAUGUACCGUCCAUCCCUCUCCCCUUCUCCUUUCUUAAUUUCUUUCCUUAUUUGUUUCUUUUUUCCCUUUCUUCCUCCUUUCUUUGCUGAAGCUGAAGCAGCUAUGUUUCCAGCCGCAAUGGGCUCAGCUCAAGCUGCUGUCAGGAACAAAGUACUCGCAACAAACUGGCUUUGGUGAUUCAGUCGAAUUGGAUAGUCCAGCCCCUUCUUUUCUCCCUUUUCCGCUCUGUGGAACUAGUACCUUCCUUUCUUUUUUCUUUUUAUUUUGUCUUCCUUUCUUUCCUUGCUUUCUUUUUUCUCGUCUCCCUUCCUUCCCUUCUCUCCUUUUUCUUCUUCUUUCUUUCCUUUCUUCCUUAUUUCUUUUCUUUCUUCUUCUUUUCCCUUCUUUCCUUUUCUUCUUCUUUUAUUUUGUUAUCUUUUCCUUUUUUCAUCUUUCCUUACCUUCUUUCUUUCCUCUUUCUUCUUCUUUCCUACGUGGAUGCAUUUUGAAGUCGUACUCCCAUCCCAUCUUGUUUUCUAACAAGAAUGGGUGGACAAUGAAUGGAUAGCGCACGGUUCUUCAUAAGUCCGAUAGCACGAACGAUAGAUUGUACAUCUGAUGAGAUGGUUAGGACACCUCUUAUCCCAUCAGGAUUUAAAAUGUUGGUUACAAAUGGCAUCAGAGUAGAGUCGGUCCACGGUUCAUGUGGACUAGGAGAUACUAUAGCAUUGACCUUUUCUGGGUUGACCAUAGACCAAUUCUAUUAUUUGUGAUUGGACUUGACUAGAUGUGAACACUUAGCCUAGCGAGGAUGCCAAAGUUUAAAUAAGAGAUUAUGAUAGAAUCCUUGUGGACAUGUGUUUAGUCCCAGUAAAUACAUUGAUUGUAUGCUGGGAAGAUCUUAUAUACUUAUUUGGAGCUAAAAAAAUUAAAUAACACCUUGUGACUAGCCUUUUUGGUUGAUAUUCUAUAUCGUUAUAAAUGGACCUUUUGACUUAAGGUCCAUGUGACUAGGGGACACUAUAACACAGGCCCAUUUGUGACUGACUCGGGCUAAUUAUGGUAUUUUUGAUUAGAAUUGAUUAAACUUAGAUCCUUAGCCUCUCAAGGAUGUUAGAACUUAAAUAAGAGAGUAUGUGAGAUCCUGUGCAGCCGUGUAUUUAGUUUCAUAUUGGUUGUAUACUGGUAAGAUCUCUAGUGCUUAUACAGAGCCAAGAAACCUAAAUAAUACCUUCCAACUAGUCUUUUUUAUGUAAAGUUCUUAAUCGUUAUACUUGAUAUCAGAGAGGAUUAUACAUAAUAUCAUAGAGGACUCAGCACAUAGCCCAUGUGCAUUAGGGACUUUCCAAUAUGGAUCCUUUUAGGGUUGACCGUAAGUUGAUUGUGGUGUUGGUGAUUAGAUUUAACUGAAUUUGGAUAUUAGCCUAGCGAAGAUGGCCAACCUUAAAUAGAGGGAUUAUGUGAGAAUCCAUAUAAGGUCUGUUUAGUUCCACAUCAUUUGUAUGCUAGAGAAUCUUAGGUAAUUAUAUAGAGCCAAAGAACUAAAACAACACUUUUCUACUAGCCUUUAUGGAUAAGAUGCUGGGUCGUUACGAAUAGUAUCGGAGUAGACCUAUCUUAUGGCCUAUAUAGACUAGGGGAUGUUGCAAUAUGGAUUCAUUAGGGUUGACCACGGGCUGAUCAUGGUGUUCAUAUUGGAUUUGGAUCCUUAGCCUGGUGAGGAUGCCAGGGCUUAAAUGGGAGGAGUAUGUGAGAGCUUAUAUGGGCUUGGGUUUAGUUCUUUAUUGAUUGGGCUCUGAAAAGAUAUUGGGUACUUAUGCAAGGUUAAAGAACCCAAAUAAUGCCUUUUAGUUACCUUUUUUGGAUGAGGUCCUUGGUCAUUACAAAAGAUAUUAUAGCAUACUCGACUCACAGCCCAUAUGGGCCGAGGACACUAUAGUAUGGACCAUUUUGGGGCUGAUCACUAACUGAUUAUGGUGUUUGUGAUUGAGUUUGACUGGAUUUGGACCUUCAGCCUAGCAAGGAUGCCGAGACUUAAAUGAGGAAGUAUGUGAGAGCCUGUGUGUGGUGUGGUUAGUCCCACAUUAUCUAUAUACUAGAAAAGUUUUGGGUACUUAUACAUGGCUAAGGAACUCAUAUAUUACCCUUUAGCUAGUCUUUUUAGGUGAGAUCCUAGAUUAUUACAAAAAGUACCAAACUGGCCUUAGCCCACAGUCUAUAUGGACUAGGGAACGCUGCAACGUGGACAUUUUUAGGUGGUAAGCUUGAGUCAAUCAUGCUGUUUGUGAUUGAAUUUGACUAGAUUUGGAUCUGUGACUUAGCGAGGAUGCUUGAGCUUAAAUAAUGGGAGCAUGUGAGAGCUCAUGUAUGUAUGUAUUUUGGUCCUACAUAGGUUGUGCAAUGAGAAGAUUUUAGAUAAUUAUAUUGGACCAAAAAAAUCCAAAUAACUCCUUUCGGUUAGCCUUUUUAAGUAGGAUCCUAAGUUGUUACAAAUAGUAUCAGAGAAGAUCCAGCUCAUAACCCAUGUAAAUAUAAGACAUUGAAGCACAUACUCUUCUGGGACUGACCAUAGAUUGAUCACUAUAUUUAUGAUUGGAUUUGGUUGUAUUUGGAAUCCUAGCUUGAAGAGGAUGCCAAUGCUUAAAGGGGGAGAGGGUUAUAUGAGGACUCAUGCAGGCAUGUGUUUAAUCCAACAUCAUUUGUGCAUUGAGGAGAUGUUGGCUACUUAUACAAGGAAUACAAACAACACCUUUUGGUGAGGUCUUGGGUUGUUAAUACCACUCCUCAAUACAUAGUCUAUUAGGCUGAUCGUAAACUUUGUCAAUUAGACAAGAUCCCACCAAACUCAAUUUAUAUUUCCCAUGACUACGGAAAGUGGUUUCUAAAGACAUGGACUAUCAUUUGUUCAUAUAGUUGUAUAUUAGAUUAUUGAUACCACAUAUAUUUGUAGAUACAAUGUAGGCUUGUUAUACACAAUAUUAUGAGGGGCUACAAACUACCAUAGUUACAUAUAUUGCGCUUUUUACCAGAAUGGAAGAUACUUGCAUUAUUUCGACAUUACAACAUAUGCUUCCUGGACUUCAUCAUAUUUUGAAGAAUCACUAAGUUUUGUAUUGUGCAUAUUUCUACUUCACUACAAAUUUUUAUACUGAAGAAUGAGGAGACAGAUGUGGAUAUUUUCCUUAGAGUUGAGAUUGUUUCAGUGCACACUUUAAUUUGUGUAGCAUUGCUUGCCACUUAGGCUUUUUAUAUCAUGGCAAGAGUAUGAAUGCUUUUGCUGUAUAAACUGGAGUAUUGACAAUGGAGUGGAGUUAAUUUUGUACAAAAACGGGUGAUGGGAAACCUACAAAAAAAUUGAUAGCAAUUGGGAGAAAGGAGUUGCAUAAAACUAAGACACUAUCUUCAAUAAGUAUAGCAAGCAAUGCUUGAGUGAAAUUGACAUCAAACAAGAACAAGAUUUGUUAAUCAUUUUACACACCUAAACUCCCUUAUGUCAAAAUGGAAGGGUGGGUCUGCAAAAAGGAGAGGACCAAUGAACACCUCAAUUGUAUUUGAGGAAACUAGGGGGGCUUAAAAAAUUCAGUCCCACUAUUGAAUUCAAAUAUUUACAUUUGGUUGACAACUAACUAUAAAAAAAAUAGACUAAAACUCUUAAAUAAAUCCUAUUGAUGUGAAGGUGUUAACACUGGUGUUGCCUACUAUAGCAAAGAUUGACAAAUUUGGAUCAUAAAGCCAAGCAUGAUGCCAUGGUUAUGGUUAUGGAUUUGUACUUCUACUAUGUCAUGGAGAAUAUGGUUCUAAAAGAGUAUGCUUAGUGAAUAAUGACAAGAAAAUUGACAUUAAUUAUAGAGUGGUCAUUUUGUAUUGAGAUAAGCAGAGAUGAUUCCUACCAGUUUAGGUAAGGAACAUAGUGUUGCAGCUGUUCCACACAACUGUGGUCUCUUAAACUGAAUUUUCUUGCCUACCUGUGCCCGAAGCGAAUGGGUGCUGCUGUGGGUCAAUUCCAGGGCAGGGGUUGAAACUUUUGAUAGUUUUAUUUGAAUUUGAUGUUUCAAGGUACUUUUAUGAGUUGUUUAGGAUUUUUUCCCUUAAUGUUGCAUUUACUUCUCUCUGGAAGCAAUGUUGUACAUUUGUAUCCUAUUUAUGAAAUGCAACAAGGUUGUUCAGGUCGAGAAUCAACAUGAGCCAUACUUGAAAUGAUUCAGGUUUAUGUAUAGAAUUUGGACCUAAGCCUAAGUUUGUUUUGUUCAGCCCUCAUUCUAUUUUGAGUAGUAUCAUGGGCCAGCCACUAUUUACCUAUAAUUGUUAAUGUAUACUUUUUUUCUUAGUUGAGUUGGGUCUGGUUUUUGCUAGACCUAGUUUGAGAAUUAUCUCUGGAAUUAGGACUUAACGCAAAUUCUCAAAUUUUAAGAAUGAGACAUCUCCAAAUCAAAUUGGGUAUGUUGAAUCUUGGCCUACUUGAGACACUUGCACCAUGCUUUAUAGUUUAUACAUGUUCUAUUUCAAUAUCCGAUACGAUUUGUUGCUUUCUAAUGAUUUGCCCACAUAUUUUGUCCUCUCAUUUUUUAUCUUACAUGUUUUUCUAACACUUCUUUUUUGUGUCUGGCUUUUUCAGCUUUACCCAUAUCGAUAUUGUUUCCAUUCUUAUAUUUCAUGGUAUGUAUGCUGAAUUGUUGUUAUUUAUUUUUUAUUUGGAAGCAUAGAAUCAUUUAAGUUCUACUAUCUUCAAAGAAAUUAUCUUGUUUAUUCAUGAUUGGAGUUGCUUGUCUUGUUGAGCCUUUGUUCCUUCUCUUUUUGUAAAGAUAGCUACUAAAACCAAAGGUGGAAGUCUAACCAAUGGGGGUAGGGAUUGCUGGUAAUUGUGUUAGUUGACACUAGAUGCUAACUCUUUCUAAAAGAAUAGUCAUAUCCAUGGCCAUCAAGCCAUCAUCACCUAUUUGGGGCCAACCUUCUUGAUCCCUGUUUCCCAGCCAUUUCUUUUAAGGAGACUGCUAAUGUGGUUACUGCAUCUUUUUCUAAAUCCUUUAUUUUGAAUUUCGUUUUCUUGGUUUUGAUCUUCCCCUCCUCUAAUUGGACUUUUCAUAUAGAUUCAAGCACCUCUUUUUAUUAGGGCCUCCUUGAAUCUUCAUUGCAAAUGCCCAUACCAUCUCAAUUGAUUCUUGAAUACUAUUUUCCGAAUUAAUGAAAUUCCUAUGUUUUUUUGGUAUUCUUGUUUCUCACUCCUAGUUCUCCCACAUGUCCACCCUGGCAUUCUUAUGCUUGUGAAGCUCCUCUUCAGUGGGAAUGUUAAGCUCCAGCAACUCUUUGUUGGAAGUCCCCAACAUUGUAGGUCUCAACACAACAUUUUAGGUCCCAACACAAUUUUAUUCGAUAUUUUUCCGCAUCACAUAACCCAGAUGUGACUCCACUAUAUUUUCUGGUCAUUGCUUUUAUUAGAUAUUUUUUGCAUGAUACAUCAUCAUCAUCAUCUUCUGCUUCUUCUUCUUCUUCUUCUUCUCCUCUUCACACUUGGUGACUUUACCAAUUGGCACCCUCAUUAUAUGAUUUAUUAAUAACACCAAUCACAUUGAUGCAUAUGUUUACCAUUAAUUUUGACUAGAACCUUGUAUGCUUUUGUUUUAUCGGAACCAAAUAUGAUCGGACCCCUCAUUACCCUCCAUCCUCUGUUGUCAUUAGUGCUGUUGCCACCAGUUGGAUCAUGGCCAUCACUUACACCAUCCCUCUAUCAUGCUCCACAAGCCCAACCCAUAAACUAUGACCUGCCAUUGCUGUAUUCAUUGCGCUAUUGACAUAACCAACAUUGUUCCAAUGUACCGGCCAUGAUGGUGGCCUGGUAGUGGUAGGGGCAGAAGGAUGUCAGGAUGAUGGUGGGUUGAUGAGAUUAUGGGAAAGGUGUUAGUAUCAUGGCAGUGGCAGGCUGGUGAUGUUCUAGGAUUAAGGUCAUUGAAGUUUCAAUAUAUUGCAGAUGGUAGAUUAUCCUAGAUUAUAUAUUUGCAGAUACCUUGAUUUGAUUAGCCAUAUAUGUGCUUGAAGCCCUUGAACUUUGAAUAAAAUGAACAUCACUCAUGAUUCCUUUCCUUUUUUCUUUUCCAUAGGUAAGAGACUUGCAUAUUGCCAAAAGGGAAGAAGAUAUUGGAUUCUAUGCAGGUUUUGUAGGUGAGUAUCUGUUGCACACUUGCACUGCAUGUAAAAAUAUCUGAUGUGCUGCGAAUCAAACAUUUAGGUGGUAUUGUUACAGUUAGUACCUUGUUGCACAUGUUAACUGGAUGUAACUGACAUAUGUUCCCCCUCUUGAAGGAGCUUCAUUUAUGUUCGGGAGAGCUUUGACUUCUGCAUUUUGCGGACUGGUGGCUGAUAGAUAUGGGAGAAAACCUGUUAUUGUGAUUGGCAUAUGUGCUGUGUCAGUAACACUUGCUUUCCUGUCUGAUCAACGUUGUUAACAUGAAAAUGCUAAGGAAAUAUUGUUUAGCUUUCUUCUGUUUCGAUUCCUAUCUUGUCACUCUGGUGUUGUUGCCAUUACAGGGUCAUAUUCAACACUCUUUUUGGGCUAAGUACAACUUACUGGAUGGCAAUUACUACAAGAUUAGUCCUUGGAUCUUUCAAUGGUUUACUUGGUCCAAUAAAGGUAUGAUUAAAAUGGCUGAUUGGUUAUCCCUCUCAAAUUGUUAACUGUACUGAGCUAAUUGUAACUUUUAUGACUUGAAUUUUGCACAGGCUUAUUCUAUAGAAGUUUGUCGAGCAGAGCAUCAAGCUCUUGGAUUAUCAAUUGUAACAAAUUCUGUAUAUGUUGUUUAAUCAAAUAUAUUUUGUAUCUCUCACGAAUGCAUAAUUCAGGUAUUCUGGCUGUCUCCUUUCAGGUCAGCACAGCGUGGGGUAUAGGUUUGAUAAUUGGCCCAGCAAUUGGAGGCUUCUUUGCGCAGGUACCCAUGAAUUAUUCUUUUUAAGCACAUUGUUGGAAAUGAAACUGAGCAUUUGCGCAUCCUUGAGUGCCAAGCUGUUUGCAGCUGUGCCAAUGUCUGUCUAGUACAACACAUUCACAUUUUUUAUUUAAUAGCUAUAUGUGUUAAUUCUUAUGUUAAUACUUUAUGCAUGUAAAUUUGGAGUAAACGAUGCCAAACAAGAGAAAAAAUGCAAGGAGAAAAAAAAUCUCCAGGAUUGAUUCUAUAUUGUGAAGAAAAUCUACCAAAAAAUUAGGGCUGCAUCAGUGAAUUAGGGUGUUCAAAAGUAAUUUAUAUGACAGCACAUGCAAGGAGGAAAAUAAAAUACCAAAUAUAUCUACACACACAUAAACACAUAUAAAUUAAUGCAUAUACACAUAAAUAGAAACACAUAGACAUAUGCAUACCGAACACAAAUGGAUUAGAGAAUGAGUUGCAAAGGGUCAUACAAUUUCCAGGUUUCUCAAUUGGAGAUGGUGGUCCAUCAUCCUAUUAAUGGCUCAGAAUCAGCUGAAGCAAAGUAAUUCUAGGAGAUAAAACAUUUAUGAAAGAAAAGGUCAGGAAUGUGGUCUCAGUAGGCAUCCGUAAACUGACCAAAAUGAUUUCUACAUGGGUUUUUUUAUGACCUUUUUAGGAGGGGGGGGGGGGGUGCGCAUGAAGCAUCAUGCCAUCAUUCUUUCCCUUCAACCUAAGAAUGACGGUUGUAUAGGGAUUUUCUAGAUGGUGAUGUUAGGCUUUUGAAGCCUCAAAUGUUUUGAGCUCUGUACGAUGCUAACAGAAGAGAAGGAUAUGUUUAUGUUGCAAUCAUUAAACUAAUUGGAAACCUGAAUCUUAGAAAUAGAAAGUUUAACCAGUUAGCAAAUAUUAGGAGAUCUGCUUUGAUCAAGUUUUACUUGUUUUAACCAUUUGGAUUUUGACAUCAAAGGAAUUAGUUCUCUGAAGAUAUCUUUUUAGGUGAUAUGUUUCCAAAAUAUUUGCAUGAGAGAGAAAAGGAGGAUGGUGUAUAAUUUGUGUGGAGGGUGCCCUCCCUUGUAUAUGUUACUCUCUCUCUCUCUCUCUCUCGGACAUGCUUGCUGCUGUUUAUUAAUUAAAUAUAUUGCAUAAAAUUGGUGUAAUAUCAUUGAGGGGUCUAAUGAGUGGAUCUUGACGAUAUUCAACUUCUCACAGUGGACCAUGCAUAAUUUAAUCGACUGAACCCGACUGAACCUGUCAUUAAUUGCUGACAACUGGGAGUAUAAAGCAUUACUGCUAUUUCUUGUAAAUAUUAAUAUCUGAGUUUCCUCUUUAGUUAUUGGGGUCAGGAUCUUGAUGGACACUAGUACCAAUCAGAUAAAAGAAAGUCAUAUUUUUAAUGGAAGUUGAAAUGACAGAAGUACCUCUGACAGCAAGAGUGAUGAUCUUUCAGAGAAGAAAGUAGCAAAAUUUGAGAUGAAGAUUGACUAAUGACUAGAGAGUGAAAUUGAAAUUAAAACGAAGAGCAAUUUCUUUUGGGAGAAUUCACUCAUUGUGUCAAAACAACAUCAUCAAACAUCUAGUCGUCUAAGGGGUAUUCAAGCCACAGUGCUAAUGUGGACAUUGACUAUAGAGAUGAUGGGCUUUCUAGAGCAACAAAUUGGUUAGGAUAUUGUCAUAUACCGGUUAAUAUUUCUACAGCUUUGCACAGUAGUCAUUGAAAAACAUUAGGUGUACGAAGAAUUGUUUAUUUCAAAAGCAUUUGGCUGUAAUGUUUUUCUCAGCCUGUAUCAAACAUUCUUAGCACACUCCAUCCUUUUCCAUUGUUAAUAACUUCAUAUUAUGAUUUCUUGUAAAAAAGCAUUAUAUUUUAUAUGCUGGUGUAACCUAACUGUUACGCAAGUCCAAACUUAUUAGGAAAUUAACCUUGUGAUUGUCCCUUUUUUUCAGAAAUUUUCAUUAUAUUAAAUUCUUAUUCUUGUGUCUUUCGAUGCAUUUUGUAUCAGCCUGCAGAAAAAUAUCCUGAUAUAUUCUCCCAGGAUUCCUUUUUUGGGAGGUAUGGAUGCUUCUACUACUAAGUUCCGUUUGCUUAUUUAUGACCUCUGCUCAUAUUUAAUUUUAUUAUUGCCAUCUUUUGUAGGUUCCCAUACUUCUUGCCCUGCUUUUGUAUAUCGCUCUUUGCAGUUGGUGUGUUAAUUCUAUGCAUAUGGCUUCCUGUAAGUUGUAGAAUCCAUGUUUAAUAUUCCCCAUCUUGUAUGCUAGAGCAAAAUGAUAAUAACAUUAUUUCAUUGUUACAUGUGGGUCCUUCUUCAUUUGUUUCCCUUAUCUUUUUUAGUCCAUUAAUCUCAAUUUUUUCAAAAAUUUGCUAGAAUAACCAAAAUGAAUCGAUUUAACUCUGUUUUCUCUUCCCACCUGUUAUCUAACUCUUUCAAAGCAUAUGAAAUUAAGUUUCUAAAAGUGUCUGUUGUAUCAUUAGUAAUACAAAAUUAUCAUACAAGGAUGAUGAUGCUGAAGAUGAAUGGACCCAUCAUGCAUUUCCAUGCAUGAGGAAGAUCCUUUUCUAACACAUAGGCAUAUGAAUGUUCUUUAAUAGAAAAAUCCUAUUUUUUCAUUCCUUCCUUGAAUAUUCAGAAAGUUCAUUUGGAGUCGAGGGGAAGGUUAUGGCCUUCUGUAGGUUAAACAAUGUUAAAACAACAUAAAUCCAUCGAAAACUGCUGAUUUUGAAUUCUUUAUGCGAUUACUUUAGUUCAAAGGGAAGUGAAUUAGCAUCUUAUGGGUUUCCAGCAGCCACCCUGAUGAUUUUUUCUGUGUAAUGCUUAUGAUCACUUGAUUGCUUCUGAAUCACGUAGCACCAAAAACUCAUGAUUUGCAUGCAUUGACAAGGUUUAAUCUCUCGUAUUUACCCGAACUUUCUCUGGUUAAAAUAUUGUCCCAUGAUACUUGGGAGGACAUACUUCAUAUGUUAUAUUAUUGGCUUUGGAGAGGUGUUCUCCAAUAUGUUCUUUCCAACAAUUUUUUCGUUAUCAUAAACUGGAUUUUGCUUUUACUUGAUUCAACAAAUAUAUUGUCUCUAAUUCAUUUAUUCUCUUGCUAGUUUCAUUUUCAUUCAUGAGUGGCUACUCUGAUGCAGAGCACAAAUAUACAAAUUUACUCAGCAGUGUAAUUUGUUCUUACAUCUAUAUAAUUUUAUAGGAAACAUUGCAUAUGCAUAAUGUAAACAAAAUGCAAGAUGGAACAAUUGAAGCUCUUGAGGCUCCAUCACAUGGAUCUGAUCUAAAAGAGAAUGCCAAUGAAAGUGAAGAAAGAGCUACUACAGAAAACCUAUUCAAGAAUUGGCCUUUGAUGUCAUCGAUCAUUGUUUAUUGUGUUUUCUCCCUUCACGAUAUGGCCUACGUUGAGGUAAUAUUUCUUGCUUCAAUGUAUCUGAUUGCUUUAUAAAUCCUUAAAUAAAAUAUUAUUAUUUUUUAUGUAUUACUCCAAAGCUUCUUCCAUAUGUACUGUGCAUGCGAGUGCAACACAUGCAUAUAUUAUUUGGGAAGAAAAUAUUCUCUCAUGAAAUAAAUGGCUAUGUUUUUAACAUUGCAUGCCUUAUGAACUUCAAGAAGUGUUGGCAUCUGAGAUAUGUAGUAAACUGAAUUUGAAUGCCUUAUGAACUUCAAGAAGUGUUGGCAUCUGAGAUAUGUAGUAAACUGAAUUUGAAAUUUGAAAUGUUUAUUGCAGAGCUCAAGGGUGUGAUUAUAAUUAUCUUCAAGUUAAAUUUCAUUCUAGUUUAGGAAAUAAUACAAUUUUUCUGUCAUUAUUCCAGCAUUACAAAAAUUUGUUGAGAUAUAGAUUUUCUUGUUUUGACAGGUCCUGUAAAUUGUUUUUUUUUUGUUUGAUGAUCUACUCGUUCCUUUGCUUUACAUUUAUCAUAAGAUUGAAAUCUCUUGUUGCUACUUCAAUGUCAGAUAUUCUCUCUAUGGGCCGUAAGUGAUAAAAGUUAUGGUGGAUUGAGCUUUUCAAGUCAGGAUGUUGGUGAGGUGCUUGCAAUCUCAGGUAGUAUAUGAUGGUGCUUUCAUUUGACUUAUAAUUCGAAAGUAUGUUCUUGGUGUUUUGGUGUUCCCUAUUGGUUCUUAAUGAAUAAGUCGACUUUACUGUUGCAUCUGACAAACAUUGUCAUAAUUCUCACUUCAAUUUGACGAGGAAAACAUUGAAGCUAGUAGUAAAUCACCAAAUUGCAGGAUACUCAAGUAAUAGGCUCAGGUGUAGACUUGGAGCUCCAAUGAAGAGGCAGAUGAGCAGUACAGAGAAGUCUUAGUGGAUAAUGCAUGGAGAAGUCAAAUAAUAGACAAAGUGAGGCACACUGGAAAGAAGAGGUCAAUGUUCAAAUGAUGUGCAAAAUGCCACACAGAGAGAAAGUAAAGAAGAAAGUGGUCAACAGCUAGCUAUUUUCAGUAGGACACAUGCCACUAAUAAGCUCCAAUGGAGUAUUGCUAAUAUGCAUAUUAUGCAAUUGUGUACAUCUGAUCAUAACAGGGCUAUGACAUAAGUACCCUUCUGCAUAGGUGUUCACCUCAAAUCUAGGAAACAAUUAGAAGGGAUCUGAAUCAUCUGAUAAUAGAGAUUACUUAUCAGAUUGAUGAUGGUGGCAUUAUCAUCUUUUGUUACAGUCAUGGUCAUUUUGAAAGAAAAGAGAACUUCUCAUGCCAUGAGUGGUAUUGAGUCAAGAGAGAAGAAUCUUGGAAAUGUUAAUGAAUCCAACAUUAACAUGGGGCAGCCUGCAAACAGCCCAAAACUAGGCCUAGAGAAUGUUCAACCCCAUAAGUAACAUGAUUGAAACAGUGAAUCUUAUGAGAUGACUAUGGAGGGUUGGCUGGGGGCUUCAUAAAUCUCCUUAAAUAAUUCAUUAUGAAGAAAAGUAUUCUUCAUGUUCUUUUGUAAAAAUAUACAAUACCAAGUAGCUCAAACUAUUAUCAUAUUCCAACAACAAUCUUCUUCCUCAAUGCAAGGGUCUUGCAGGAGUCCAUGCCAUAUUUAUGAAACUGAUAGCAACAUGCCUUCCUGGAAGAAUGAAUGGGUUAAUUGGUUUUCCAUCUUUUGUACCAAAAAACAAGAAGCUAUACAGUCAUACUUGUUAAGGAGCUCUAUAUUCUUUCUGCAAGAUUGUUUCUUCCUAACUGGACAUAGGUAUAUGAAAAGUAGUCCCAUAACUCUUCAAACUACUUAAAAUAUCCAAUUAUUUUCAAUUAAGAUUUCAUCAAAGGCUGUUCUCUAUGCCAUCCCAUGUAAUGCACUUCUUCUAAUACCUAAUGGCUGCUAGUAAUUUUUGAUUUUGUGAGAUCUGUUAAAUUGUCUUUUUUGAAAGAUGUCUCUCACUUUUAUCAGGUUCCAGCUUAGUGAUUUUGAUAUGAAGUUUGGUGGGUCUAUUGCCUUGCUAACUUAGUCCCCAAUCCCAAUUUUCUGGUUAUUUACGUAAAUGGUGGAUUAUGACAGAUUAUUAGUUUUUGAAAAAUGCAAAUAAUUCAUUAAUAUGAUAUCUUAAUGUAGUAUUUCUCAUGUCUUCAUUAUUCAUGCUAUAGAAAAUACCAAUGUAGGGACUGCACAUGAAAACCAGACAUCGCAAUUGUGAAAUGCUCCAAAAUAGAUUAACUUGG
rnacentral:lncRNA from 1 species